rnacentral:rRNA from 1 species
GAUGAACGCUGGCGGCGUGCCUAAUACAUGCAAGUCGAGCGAACAGACGAGGAGCUUGCUCCUCUGACGUUAGCGGCGGACGGGUGAGUAACACGGGGAUAACCUCCCUAUAAGACUGUGAUAACUUCGGGAAACCGGCGCUAAUACCGGAUAAUAUAUUGAACCUCAUGGUUCAAUAUUGAAAGACGGUUUUGCUGUCACUUAUAGAUGGUUCCGCGCCGCAUUAGCUAGUUGGUAAGGUGACGGCUUACAAAGGCAACGAUGCGUAGCGGAUAUGAGAGGGUGAACGGGCACACUGGAACUGAGACACGGCCCAGACUCCGACGGGAGGCAGCAGUAGGGAAUCUUACGCAAGGGGCGAGAGCCUGACGGAGCAACGCCGCGUGAGUGAUGAAGGUCUUCGGAUCGGAAAGCUAUGUUAUUAGGGAAGAAGAAAUGUGUAAGUAACUAUGCACGUCUUGACGGUACCUAAUCAGAAAGCCACGGCUAACUACGUG